rnacentral:tRNA from 1 species
AAAUGUUAUUUGCAAGAUAAGCUAUUUAAGCUAUUGGGUUCAUACCCCACCGAUAGAAUAUUUC